rnacentral:lncRNA from 1 species
CGACUAGUGGCGCAUGCGAUAUGCCCAAUAUGCGGGGGAGGGGUUGAAAUGACGGACCAUGUUUUUCGAAGUUGCCCUGCUUCAAAGGAUGUUUGGAAAUUAGUAGGGUACUCGUGGAUAAUGUCAAAUACAACUCAGGAAACGUUUGAAUGGCUUACCUGGGUAUUCAGUGUAAGUUCUGUUCUUCAACGGAGGGUUUUUUGUUGUGCCCUUUGGGCCUUGUGGAUUGAAAGGAAUAAGCGUGUGCAUGAGAACUCCGCAAAAUCGGGCAGAGAGGUAGCCAAUUUCAUUCAAAGUUACAUUAAAGAACUAGAAGGUAUCGAAGAACGAGGGCUUACCAGGGGAGUUAUUAGCGCUAAACUGGAACCUCCUUCGGGGGUUUGUAUUAAAAUAAACUUCGAUGCGGAUUUUGAUUGGGCACAUUCUAGGUCGAGGUCGGGGAUAGUGGCCAAAAACGCCCUGGGGAAGGUGGUUGCCUCUAGAUCGGUCAUACAUGCAAAUGUUGGGGCGGCUUUUGCAGCGGAAGCUCUUGCCCGUUUAUGGGCAGUACAAACGGGGUUAGAUUUGGGUUUCACAGAUAUGAUUAUAGAAGGAGACUCUUUAUCAGUUAUAAAGAAAUCCAAGUCAGAUUCACAAGACAAAUCAGAAAUAAGUACUUAUACCCGGAAUAUAAAACGAAAUAUCAACAGUUUUCGGUCUCUACGAAUCAAACAUGCAAGACGCUCGGCUAAUCAACUUGCUCAUGUAAUAGCUACUGAAAGUUUGAGAAAUGGUGAAGAGUUUUACCUGGAAGAGAAGGUCCCGAGAUUCGUUGUGAGGAUAAUGGAAGAAGAAUGGAUUAGAGCCCGAUUAAGGAGGAAGAUGGUAAAAGCUCUUCGAUCCCUGGGAUAAAGAAAGCUUAGAAAUGUGUUUUUGAGAGAAAAGAUCGUUGG